rnacentral:lncRNA from 10 species
AUCCAGCUGGAAGUGACAAAAAGACAUCUUUUGACAUAAAGGGAUGACACAGACAGACAUAAGUUCUUAAACAUCUUAAAUGUUAUGUGAAAAUUAAACAGAAUUCAAAGACUUAGGAGGGAAAGUUACUGCGAAUGUCAUAAAGGGUUAAUUUGCAUUUUAUUUUAUUUUAUUUUUUGAGACAGUCUCAUUCUGUCACCUAGGCUGGAGUGCAGUGGUGCAAUCAGGCUCACUGCAGCCUUGACCACCUGGGCUCAAGUAAUCUCACUUAAUUUUUUUUUGGUUUAAGAAAGUCUUGGUUGAGGGUGGUGGCUUAUGCCUGUAAUCUCAGCACUUUGGGAGGCUGAGAGAGGUAUAUUACUUGAGGCCAAGAGUUUGAGAUCAGCCUGGGCAAUAUAUUAAGACCCUGCCUCUACCAAAAAACAGAGUGAAUGUGUGGAAGACAAUUUUUCCACAGACUGGGAGUGAGGGAAUAAUUUCAGGAUGAUUCAAGUGCAUUACAUAUAUUGUGCACUUUAUUUCUAUUAUUACUACAUAGUAAUAUAUAAUGAAAUGAUUCUACAACUCACUAUAACGUAGACUCAGUGGGAUCUCUGAGCUUGUUUUCCUGCAACUAGACUGUCCAUCUGGGGUGAUGGGAAACAGUAACAGAAUAUCAGGCAUUAGAUUCUCAUAAGGAGUACACAACCUAGAUCCCUCACAUGCACACUUCACAACAGUUUGUGCUUCUAUGAGAAUAAUGCUGCUGCUGAUCUGACAGGACAUGGAGCUCAGGUGGUCAUGCAAGCGAUGGGAGGGGCUAGAAAUACAGAUGAAGUUUCCCUUCACUCGCCUGCUGCUCACCUCCAGCUCUGUGGCCCUGUGGUUGGAGACCGCUGCUCAAGUGCAUUCGAAAGGAUCCAUCCCAUGCCAUUCUUCAGAGUCAUCUUUACUGCUGCAGUGGUCAACUUGUAGCACCCCUAAGCUCGCAGGACAGGUGCUUCAACUGGCAUUUCAUCACAAUCAACAGUAUGUGGUAGCCUGAGUAAUUUUGAGGUCACUUACUGGAAAUCACCAGCAUCCCAUAUCCCAUUAGCAAGGAGCUCAGCACUGCUCCUUGGAUAACCAAACCUAUUCCCAAAUCCCAUCUGUGUGCGUCUAUCUCCUGGUACCCUUCCUAGCAUCAAUUCUGUAUUUGCAGGAGUCCAAUCAGGAGACACAAACCACUCCAAAGUUUAAACUAGAAUGAGCAAGGUGGCUCACACCUGUAAUCCCAGCACUUUGGGAGGCCAAGGUGGGUGGACUGCUUUGAGCUCAGGAGUUUGAGAACAGUCUGGGAAACAUGGCGAAACCUCGUCUCUACAAAAAACACAAAAAUCAGCUGGGUGUGGUGGCACUUACCUGUAAUCCCAGCUACUCGGGAGGCUGAGGCAGGAGAAUUGCUUGAGCCUGGCAGGUGGAGGCUGCAGUGAGCAGAGGUUAUGCCACUGUACUCCAGCCUGGGUGACAGUGUGAGACCCGGUAUCAAAAAGAAAAAAAUGUAUAUAUAUGUAAAUUUAAUAUAAAAAGUAUUAAUUUUGGCCAGGCACAAUGGCUCAUGCCUGUAAUCCCAGCACUUUGGGAGGCCAAGGCAGAUCACCUGAGGUCAGGAGUUUGAGACCAGCCUGACCAGCAUGGAGAAACCCCAUCUCUACUAAAAAUACAAAAUUAGCUGGGCAUGGUGGCACAUGCCUGUAAUCCCAAUUACUCGGGAGGCUGAGGCAGGAGAAUCGCUUGAACCCGGCAGGUGGAGGUUGCGCUGAGCCGAGAUAGCGCCAUUGCACUCCAGCCUGGGCAACAAGAGUGAAACUCCAUCUCGAAAAGAAAAAAAGGUAUUAAUUUUUACAGAGGAUUAGCACAAUGAGGGACACGCUAGCACAAAGUAAAGACAACUCUAGAGAAUACAGAACUAGCAGAGGCCAGGCAUUAUGGCUCAUGCCUGUAAUCCCAGCAAUUUGGGAAGCCUAGGCAGGAGGAUCGCUUGAGGCCAGGAGUUGGAGACCAAUCAGCGCAAAAUAGUGAGACUCUGUGUCUACCAAAAAAAGAAACAUUAGCCAGGUGUGGUGGUGGUGCACACCCGUAGUUCCAGCUACUUGGGAGUCUGGGGUGGGAGAAUCCCUUGAGCCUGGGAAGCCUACACUACAGUGAGCCAAGAUUGUGCCACUGCACUCCAGCCUGGACGACAGAGUGAGACCCUGUCUUAGAAAGAAAAAAGAAAAGAAAGUGUUAAUCCCCCUAUGGGAAUCUCCUCUUCUCCUGCCCUCUCUGGAACCUCACUUGUCAGUUCUUCCUCCCACUUUCCUGUAUCUUUAACCUAUCCCCUACUUUUAGCUCCUUCCCAUCAUCAUUUAAAUUACUCAAACUUCUUCUGUUUUAAAAACCUCUCCCUAAACUCAGUGAGAGGUCUCCUACACACCCAUUGAGCCAUCUGCUCUCCCUGGUGCCUUCUCUACAGCAGCCUGAGCCAUGUCUCUAAUCCAUUAAUCUCAUCAUGUUACUCCCCCAUUUACAUCACUUCUCCUUGCCUCAGGGAUUAAGUCCAAACCCUUCAACAGCCCCUGCUCUGCCCUGCCUUGCAAGGCAGCCUCAUUGCUUGCCCCUCUCCAUUUCAUCUGCUAUGGAGUCCAACUGAGCCUCAUCUGCCCUUUGAACACACACUCUUUCUCCUCUGGGAGUCUCUGAAGUGGGUGAUAUCCUCUGCUUAUAAUACGCUUCCCCUUAAACCUCUACUCUCUUCCUAGCUAGCUUCGACUCUGUCACUUGUCCGCUUUGGCAUCACCUCCUCAUGGAAGACUUCUUUGACUCCCCAGAUUCUCAGGAGCAUGGCAGGUGAGGUGCUCCUCCCAUGAAUGGAUGGAGAUUAGGGAGUGUGUGUUAUUCAUGCUUAAUUCACCAGUGCUUAGCUGAGUACCUGGCAUAAAAUACUGUGGUGGCCAAAGUAAUAACCCCCACCCCCACCAAUUGCUCAUGUCCUAUGUUACACAGCACAAUUACAUAGGAAGGGGGAAUUAAGAGUGCAGAUAAAAUUAAUGUUGCUCAUCAGCUGACCUUAAAACAAGAUUAUCCUGGAGUAUCUAGGAGAGCCCAUGUAAUUACAAGCAUUCUUUAAAACUGGAAGAGGGAAGUAGAAGGUUAAGAACCAGAGACGGUGGGCACAAUGGCUCAUGCCUGUAAUACCAAUACUUUGGGAGGCCAGGGCAGGAAAAUCCCUUGAGUGCAGGAGUUCAAGGUCAGCCGUGGCAACAUACUGAGGCCCCAUCUCUACAAAAAAAUAAAAACAAAAUUCACUGAGUGUCACGAUGCUUACCUGUGGUCCCAGCUACUGGGAAGGCUGACAUGGUAGGACUGCUUGAGCCUGGGAGUUUGAGGCUACAAUGAGCCAUAAU